rnacentral:lncRNA from 1 species
AAAAACUUGUGCGGAACCUUACGCCUUGCAAAGCGCCUUUUCCAUGCUCCUUUUUUCUUCUAUAUGACAAAAGUGCCUUCACUAACAGCUUUUGAACAGAGACUUAUUUACAGUGAGAUGGAGGCCUUGGUGUUGGUGAGGGACAGACGGAGAGUGAGGAGGCGUGAGCAGCCUGCCUCCCAUGGCUCGAAAACAGGGAACCCCAGCAGGAAGGGGAGCAGCAAAAGCUGGUGGGGGAACCGGCGUUCCUGUUCUUCCUCAGCGGAGACCUGGUGAGCAUGUAGCAGGUGGGAUGGAACCCAGAGUCCACGCAGGACCCUGGAGGUGCAAGGGAGAUGCUUGAGUUGAACCCAGAACAUUCUCGGGUUGAUCACAGUGUCCUUGGGGUGCUCUGGGGAAAGGUCUGUGCCCCUCUGCCCCUGACGCUGUCCGCAGCUGCAGAGGGGAAAUGUCCCUGGGGUCACAGCUCGCUGGAGCGGACAGCAGGUUCCAGCUUGUGGGACAGGGCAGUGAGGACCUUGUCGAACUUCUCAUAGCGCCGGGCCUGGCUGCUGCUGGCACCCUGACUGCCCCAGAGGAGGCGCAUCUGGAACUCCGUGCUGAACACCUCCAGGAGCUCCGGCCGGGCCUGGAACCCUGCAGUGUUGGGGCAUAGGGUCAGGGCAGAGGCUGGGGUUCCUGUCCAGAGCCCUAGCAUUCUUCAGGACCCCCCUGUUAGGGACCUCCCCUCAACUCCGCCAGGGAUCCAACAAGGUUUGUGAAUCAACACGACCCUGUAGUUUAGCAUCUUUGUCCUGUUAUUUGCAGCAUAUAAUUUAAAAAUGACUAGACCAUAAAAUAUUAAUGUUAAAUAUGUUUGC